rnacentral:lncRNA from 10 species
GCCCAGCCAAAAGGUAUCAUCUUGUACAUACUCAAGAUAGAAUACAUACCUCAGAGAGGUGGCAUGAAAAGCAGAAAUUCAUCCGUCUGCACAUUGCAAUAAACUUCCCAAGAGACAGGCUGGACUGAGUCAUGGGGGUGAGUGCUCCAGAGUAGGCUGUAGCUUGUCCCACAGCCCUGAAUCCCACCCAUGCUUCUCAGUAAGAGAGGAGCGUAGGGAAUGACAGUGAAGUUCAAGUGAACUACAGUUGUGCUGAACAGAGCAAGUAACAAUAACUAUUACUACUGGCUUGCUGGAAAAAAGAAAAAAAAAGCAAGCUUUGCAUUAGAAUUUCUUUUUUUUUUUUUUUUUUUUUUUUUUUUUUUUUUUGAGACGGAGUCUCACUGUCACCCAGGCUGGAGUGCAGUGGCGCGAUCUGGGCUCACUGCAAGCUCCGCCUCCUGGGUUCACGCCAUUCUCCUGCCUCAGCCUCCCCAGUAGCUGGGACUACAGGCGCCCGCCACCACGCCCAGCUAAGUUUUUGUAUUUUUAGUAGAGACGUUUCAGAAGUUCUCACAUACUCCUACGGAUCCCAGACUGAAGCAGGAAUUUACAAAGGAAGUGAGCUACUACUGGCUUGAUACAAGCUAAGACAGAGACACAAACCGCUGAAGCCUAUCAAUACUUAAGCCAGAGACCCACCUACAAAAAGAGGAUUGGUCAUAGCAGAUCCUUAGGGCACAGAGAUGAACCCCAAAUCCAGGUGGAACAAUUUAAUGCAAGAUGAUGAAACUCAAAAAUCAAGAACAAAAAUAUAGAUAACCCUGUCAACCCAAUAUGAACUCCUGGUAGGGGCACAGCCUGAUAACAAGAAUGACAUCAGUAGCAAAAUGGAAGGGAGCAGAAGGGGUCAUAAUGAAAUGUAGCUAUAAUUCAGAAGUGGCCACCAAGGCAAUUUACUUUUGAGUAUUUUAUAAUAGGUGAAUUAAAUUCAGCUAUUCUUUUUAGAAAAAGAAAAAAAAGAUGACAAAUGUCAAUGUCAUUUAUAACUGGUAGGAAAUCCUAGAAAAGUAAUUCCCAAAGUGCACUGGUUUUAUGGCCAUCCACCUCCCCCUGUAAACCUAACAAAACUAUGCAGGACAUAGGUUAAAAAAGACACUGUCAACAUCAACAGAUAACAAGUCUGUUCCCACCACAUUUAGGAUAAAUGGCCAAGCAUAUAGUGGAUAAAUGGAGAAGAGUAAGAGGACCUCAUCCUUCUUGAGUCAAGGUCCUUGGAAGAGCUUCUGUGUUCUGGAGUGAGUACACAUUCUUACUUUUUAAAGAUCGGAAUUAAACCAAAAAGUUGGUCCCUAGUUUCCUGAAGUAAUUCAGCUCUGAACUACAACUUUAGCAAACACUUGCUAUACCUGCUCAUACCUGUUAAGCAGUUUCAUAUUUCUAAAUGUGAUAAAUGACAGAGGUGAUUCUUACGUAUCUACAUUUUCAGGUACCCCACAGGGUCCAUCCACAUUGAAUCAACUGUCUUAUCUUUUAAACAGACAAUACUACAACCUUAUAGUUAUAUUACAGUUGAUAUUUUCUCAAAGUGCUGUCAUAUACAUUAUCUCAUAGUCAUUAAAAUAAUGUGAACAAUAAAGUUUUUUUAAAGAAAAGGGAAUGUAGGACUAACUAGGUUUUUUAAAAACUCAAGUUGGUAUUUCUUUACUACAAAGUGCACAUUGCUGUGUUGCUGAGGUCUGUCCAAAAGAAUGACCCCAUUGAAUUUUUUAAAUGACUGAAUUCUACUGAGUGCUUGCUUGGCUUGUGUUCCCAUUACUCCACAUUCAAGCCCCUUAAGGUCAAAGUGUCAGGAGCAUGUGCUUUAGAAAGUGUGCAGCACCACACAGGCUGAUUGUCGGUCUGAGCCACUUUUUUGCAGUGUCUCACAUGGCAGCAGGUAUGGUGGAAAGACCCCACAACCAUAAAGUCAAGAGACUUGAAUUCUAGCCUUGGCUCCGCCACUAAUUAACCGUUCUGAGACAAUAGGCAAGUAAUUUAACCAUCUUCUGCUAGUUUCUUAAUCUAUAAACCAAAGGGUUGGGGUACUGAUAGUUUUCAGAUAGCACUGGGUGUUUCAAACACCUGGCGAGAUUACUGGAGAAUACACUGGCCGAGACCCCAGCCCACUGGGAAUUCUGAUCUGGAGUGGGGCUAUUCCGUCAGUUUUUUUUGUUUGUUUUGUUUUGUUUUUUAACCCUAGGGGAUUCUGCUGUGCAUCCCUAGACUAGGUGUUAAUAAUAGUAGUAGUAGAACAUUUAUAGAGUGUGCUCAUUGUGUGCCAGGCACUUGAGCUAAGUAUCUUACAAAUAUCAUCUCAUUUAAUCCUUACAACAACCCUGAGGUAGUUACUAUUAUUAUCCCUGUUUUACAGUGAGGAAACUGAGGCUCCCAAGGUUAAAUGACUUGCCUUUUAGACUGGCAUUAGAGCCUAAACACUAAACCACUAUCUAUACUGCAUCCUUUAAACUCAAAAUCUCCAUGACUUUAGUUAAAUAAAAAUGGGCAGUGCCUUAGCAAAGUCAGCAUGCUUUAUUACCUGGGACAUAUUUUACUAGCCAAUUUUCAGUUGAAUCCUAAGAAACUUUCUAUCUAAUUUAAAUCUUAAAAUGCUGCUGGUAAAGGGUCUCCACUAUAAUGACCUCUAUGUACAGAGGUCAUCUAGAAAAACACUGAAUGAAUUUCUUAGGGCCAAAUUUUUUAAGGCUAAUCUCUGAAAAUCAUGAUGGAAGUCUACAGGAAAAUAUAUACAUUUAAAUUUUACACAAAGCCUUUUAAGAAAAUACUUUAGGUAAAGCACAAUCAAGAUGUAUUCAACACAAAUCACUGCAUUUUAAAGUGGGAAAUCUAAACUGAAGUAAUAUUAUCUGUACAUGAAAGGAAUCAAGCAGUGGCAGCCCAAAGGCAUGCAUCCAGAUAUACAGCAUAACCACUUUAGAAAACUGUCAACGCCUUGGACAAGGGCCUUUGCUCAUUGCUUUUAGAAUAGUUAAAAUUAAACUACACUUUUCCAGAAGCAGUUCUCUCUGCUUUGGAUUCAAACCUUUUAAUUUACAUAAGGGUUUGUGUUUAAGCUGGUCCUUUUCAAGUAGAAAAAGGAAAAACCUAAAUUAUGCUUGUAUAGUAAGUUGACAGUGCCUCUUUAACCUGAACCUUGAGCCCUCAACCCCUGAAGUUACAUAGUUCAAGCAUCAUGUGGACGGGGUAUGCUCCAAUAGUCAAUGCCACUCUUGACAGUGUUGACAAAAAUCAAUUCCAUUUAUAUAUCGUGCACCCACUGUAGGCAAGACAGCUAGGUGCUGCCCCUGAGUAAGACACAGCCCCCACCCCCUACCCUUCAGAUUGUUGUUGGGCAAGAAAACCAGGGAGCCUAAAUACACUCAGUAGUGUUUCUCCAAGGCUUAGUUCCAGAACUCUCAAGGGAAAAUAGAGCCCUUGCUUAAAAAACAAAAAACAAAAAAACCCUGAAAAACAAUUACAAUCCCUUAACUUGCAUCCCACAACAACAGGGAUAAACCUAAAAAGCAGCAUAAUAAUAUUCUACAGUUUUAGCUUUCCCAUCCUCGACCUUAAAAGGCUAGCUGCUAAAACGAGUUCUUCAAGUUUACGGACAUGUAUGAUGAGCAAGAAUGGCAGGAAAGAAGGUGGGAGAAGGACCGCUGGUUUUUACAUCUGAGUUCUCUUCCAACCACUAGGAGGAGAUGAACCCAAUCACUAGCUGCCUGUGCUGCAACUGCAGGUGACAUACUGCGGGGAUCACCCAACACCUGCCAGGAAUGCCCAGCACCGCGUGUCUCCUCUAAUCCUCUUAACCUGGGCCUCCUUUGGAGCAGCAAUGGUAAGAAUCAAGGUUUCCUUUCUUUCCAAUGAAAACUCAAU